AGGCAUUCCAGACCAUUUACCUAUUUUGUCUCUAUAUAUUUUAUUAUUUUACUUUGGGGUCUCCAGUUUUGUAUGCAGUCCUGAAGUAAAGGAUGUACUGAGGAUCUACACAUUACCAUGAGCUCAAUUUUUUCCUUUCCCAGUGGCUUUUCGUGCCAUGUCCCUAGAUAACACUACAGUAAAGGCCGCCUGGUAUCAUGCCUACUAGAAGAAAUAGAUGAGAUUGACACCUCUGCUGCUUCCAACAUCUGAUCUGUGGUAUCCUGUGACCACAAGCUGUGACUUGAAGACAACAGCCACAGUGAUGCAAUUUCAAGGACUGUUGAUAUCCUGCUGGAAAAGGACAUGGUGAGGAGAGACACCGCCCUGCAAGAGGGAUGUAACAGCUGGAUGGCAUCCCUGGGAACCCAAACAUUUUGGAGCUGUGGCAGAUAGCUUAAUCUACCAUAGUCAGAAAAGUCAUUUGCCAGUGUAUUCAGAAACCCCCAUGGAGUAGCUGUCAGAAUGUUACAGCAGUCUCUGCUGUGCUCACCUUGUUUUGUCAAGAUCUGAUGCAGCUUGCUG
ensembl:lncRNA